AACAUACUUGCUUUUAUAGAAAAAGUAAUUAUAAUUCAAGUUUAGUAUAAUUUACAAAUGCUUAUAAUUUGUAUUUAGAAAUGAUUUAAAACUAAAGGGUGGAGUGUUUUUCACCCUUUAGUUAUCGUAUA
rfam:Rickettsia canadensis str. McKiel, complete genome.